rnacentral:tRNA from 1 species
UGGGGUGUCGCCAAGCGGUAAGGCACCGGUUUUUGGUAUCGGCAUGCGGAGGUUCGAAUCCUCCCACCCCAA